rnacentral:tRNA from 1 species
GGGCGGCUAGCUCAGUUGGUUUAGAGCGCAGCUUUCACACGGCUGAGGUCACUGGUUCGAAUCCAGUGUCGCCCA